rnacentral:lncRNA from 1 species
UGUGGCAUCAAUGUGUACCUCACCACUUCAACCGCGUCACCUCAACUACGUCGUAAUUCCACCGCUAUCCUGUUCCUAUUAUACGCUACUAUUAGAUAGCCGGUUGAUCACUGAAACGAAUUCGAAAGAACAGAAAUUUAUGGACGCCAUGAUAGUUAAUGGUUAAUUCGAUGGCUGUCAAACGGAUUUGGUGUUCGAUUCGCUGUAGUAAAUGCAGAAGCACGAAUCGCAGAGGGCGUAAGAAGCACGUCGAAUUUUUUCCAAGUCGGUAUUUCAGAACGUGACACACAAAGCGUUAUUUAAUGUCACCACUGACGUGUCACGUUUAUUCUACCGUUAACAUUCGGUGGAGAUACAUACAUUG